rnacentral:rRNA from 1 species
AUUGAACGCUGGCGGCAGGCCUAACACAUGCAAUUCGAGCGGAGCGGCGGACGGGUGAGUAAUGCCUAGGAAUCUGCCUGGUCGUGUGGGAUAACGUCCGGAAACGGGCGCUAAUACCGCAUACUCUCCGAUGAGCAUAGGUCGAAUUAGCUAGUUGGUGGGGUAAAGGCCUACCAAGGCGACGAUCCGUAACUGGUCUGAGAGGAUGAUCAGUCACACUGGAACUGAGACACGGUCCAGACGCCUACGGGAGGCAGCAGUGGGGGAUAUUGCACAAUGGGCGAAGGCCUGAUGCAGCGACGCCGCGUGGGGGAUUAAGGCUUUCGGGUUGUAAACCGCGUUCGCUAUCGAACGGGUAGGUGGAGAAGAAGCGCCGGCUAACGACGUGCCAGCAGCCGCGGUAAUAC